rnacentral:rRNA from 1 species
UGCCAGCCGCCGCGGUAAUACGGAGGGUGCAAGCGUUAAUCGGAAUUACUGGGCGUAAAGCGCGCGUAGGCGGUUUUGUAAGUCGGAUGUGAAAUCCCUGGGCUUAACCUGGGAACUGCAUUCGAUACUGCAUAACUAGAGUAUGGUAGAGGGAAGUGGAAUUUCCGGUGUAGCGGUGAAAUGCGUAGAUAUCGGAAGGAACACCAGUGGCGAAGGCGACUUCCUGGGCCAAUACUGACGCUGAGGUGCGAAAGCGUGGGGAGCAAACAGGAUUAGAUA